AUCAUUUACAAUUAAGUGAAACACUAAAAAAAUAAACGGUUUAUCGAUUGAGUUUUAGCUCGAUUAGCAUUAGUAUUGUGCUCGGUGCAGGAGGACAUAAGUUCGAGUAUGCUGAAGAGCAUUAUCUUUCCAUUCAAGUCUUGAAAGACCGACAUGAUAUAUUUAUUUGAUCAAAUUUUAAUAAAAUUGGUAUGUAUGUAUGAUUAGGUUCUUCCAUUCAUAGGAUACCUAUUUUUUUUUUCAUACCUUUUUAAUUGAUUUAGUGUUAUUUUAUAAUAAAAAAUAUCCAACUACCAUGGUGGAAGUUAGCAAAUCCACGUGCCCAUAUAUAUCCCAACUGUCUGUUUCAUCUGAUGAUCCUAUUUUUAAUUUCAAAGAACAUUCAACUCUGGUGUUUUUCAAUCUUAUAUCCUUCUUUACUUACACCAAUUACUUAUCAAACAUUAAAUAAAUAUUUUUUUAAUAUUAAUUUAUUUGCUCAUUUAAUCUAUCUUUUUAAAAAAUAUUGAUCUACUCAGUUCCAUACCUUUUUAUAAGAAAAUAAUAAAAAGAAAUUGAAAUUUAGGAUAAGAAUGAAGUUUCAAGUGGGAGCACAAAGCUUGCAAUUUUAUCAAAGGUCACUUCUCACUUCAAUUUUCACAUUCAUUCUUUUAUAUGAAUAUUCUGGAUAUCUGAUUGAUUCAAUGUGAUAAGUUAAAUAUUAUCAAAUUAUAAAAUUAAAAAUAAUUAUAUUUUAAAAUAGAAUUUAAAUGGUAUUAGUGAAUUUAAUUUAACUGUGAGAUUACUAAA
rnacentral:lncRNA from 1 species